AGCAACCGCGGUAAUUCCAGCUCCAAUAGCGUAUAUUAAAGUUGUUGCAGUUAAAAAGCUCGUAGUUGAAUUUCGGGAUCAAUAUAUCGGUCGUGCCAUUGGUACGUACUGGUAUCAUUGGUUUCUCCUUUCUGACGAACCAUGAUGUCAUUAAUUUGGUGUUAUGGGAAGUUAGGACUGUUACUUUGAAAAAAUUAGAGUGUUUAAAGCAGGCUUUAGCUUGAAUACAUUAGCAUGGAAUAAUGAAAUAGGACGUUCGAACCUAUUUUGUUGGUUUCUAGGAUCAACGUAAUGAUUAAUAGGGAUAGUUGGGGGCAUUAGUAUUCAAUUGUCAGAGGUGAGAUUCUUGGAUUUAUUGAAGACUAACUACUGCGAAAGCAUUUGCCAAGGAUGUUUUCAUUAAUCAAGAACGAAAGUUAGGGGAUCGAAGACGAUCAGAUACCGUCGUAGUCUUAACCAUAAACUAUGCCGACUAGGGAUCGGAUGAUGUUAAUUUUUUAAUGACUCAUUCGGCGCCUUA
rnacentral:rRNA from 1 species